rnacentral:tRNA from 2 species
GGGAGCAUAGCUCAGUUGGUUUAGAGCAUCUGCCUUACAAGCAGAGGGUCGGGGGUUCGACUCCCUCUGCUCCCACCA